rnacentral:lncRNA from 1 species
GGCCCGAGCUCCAGUUGAUGAAGUCACAUGGUUCCAGGGGCAGCAGCUGUUUCCCUGAAUACGAGGAUGGUGCUUUGAGACCAACCAGAAGUGAACUGUUUGUACAGAUUGAUGCUGCUGAAAUGCAAAGUGGAAACAUGUCAGGGGAAACAUGCACCCUGUCACCCCAGGAGAGAUGGCUCGGUGGUGAAUCAGACCCACAGGACAGUGGGGAACGCCAGAAGCUGGCCAGAGUUGCAGGAUUUUCACACACGACGAACGGGAAGAUGUUUAAGACCUGAGGGCGGAGGAAGAGGUGGGAGAGAACAGCACAUGCCUGUAUACCCUGCUGUGGAAAGAACCAGAAAAGCUGAAAGAAAACCUGUGAGGCCAGAAGCUGGGAUGUGGGAAGGCUUGAGAAGGGUGCAGGAGUCUCCAGGAACCAAACUGGUGUCAUGUGGAGGAGGCCAUGUGGCAGAGAUCCGUGGUGGCCUCUGGUUGCUGAGGGCCUCCGUCCCACAACUGCAAGGAACUAGGUUCUGCCAACACCCAGCAAGCCUGGGAGAGGAUGCCAGACUCCAGGGAGAUCACAGACCUGGCAACACCUUGAUCGUGGCUGUUGAAUCUCUGAGCAGAGGACAGAGCUGAGCCAUGCCUCUGUCCCACAGAAACGAUGCCAGAACUUGAGCUGUGAGCUUGUUUGCUCACUGCUGUAUCUCCAGCAAUUAAAAAAAAAAAAA